GUCUCAGUAGCUCAGCUGGAUAGAGCACGCGCCUCCUAAGCGCGGGGUCGGGGGUUCAAAUCCCUUCUGGGACGCCA
rnacentral:tRNA from 1 species